AAGACUAUAGACCUGCGGAGUACCUGCGGAGGGAUCAUUACCAAUCUCUGUGGGGCUCGUAUGUGAGUCUCGCGAAACUCUGUAUUUAAAACCCAACUCGUGAAAUAUAAUAAAAACGUAUACGUAUGUAUAAGUAAAAAAAGAUAACUUUCAACAACGGAUCUCU
rnacentral:misc_RNA from 1 species